CAUACGCAAUUAAUGGAUACAAAUGCUCCACCUGAUACUGAAGCAAAAGAAGUUGCACGAGGCAUCACCAUUAUGAAGGGAAUCAUUCGACAUAGAGACCAAGGAUUAGUAUACCGAUUGGAAUGGAAUUCUGAAAAUCAAGCAAUUGGUCCUAAUUCUGCAAAGUUGACAAGUUAUAUUGGUACACUUGUUCGUAUGCAUAUUCUGGUCUCCGUAGAUAAAUGGAAUAUGAAAAGUUUAAAGUUGGAUGCGAAAAAAAAAGCGAUUUGGGACGAGCUUCAGAGGACUUUUGAGAUACCAGAUGAUCGUAGACGCUACAUACUUAGUUUGGCCGGCAAAAGAUAUAGAGGGUGGAAAGCUUUUUUGACAAACACCUAUCUUAAGGAUAAAGAUGGAAACUUUCUUGAAGAGGCACCGGGACGGCCAAAAAAGUAUGAGAUCUUCAUUGGUGAAAAAGAUUGGGCUGAGUUUGUAAAGCAAAGAGAUGAAGACUUUCGGAAAAGGAGUGCCACGAAUAGUGCGAGAGCAUCAAAACCCGCGUAUCCAUACAAAAAAGGGCGUUUGGGAUAUGCACGCUUAGAUGAUAAAAUUUUAGAGGAGACUAAAAGUGAGGAACCUUCACUUCCUGUACAUGUGUUGUGGAAGGAAGCUCGUGUGGGCAAGAAUCAAGCUGUCGAUCCCGAUGUUCAGAGAGUUUAUACUGAAUGUGAGACCUUGUCGCAAUCGGUAUCCACCAGUGAGGGAAGCGUACUUAGUAGAGCACUAGAUGCUCCUGAGUAUCCCGGUCGGGUGAGGGGUAAGGGUCAUGGUGUGACUCCAACUUCUUUUUACAAGAGUCCUAGGAGAAGAUCAAAUCUUACCAAUGAAGAAGUGUUGCAAAAGUUGCAGGAAUUGCAAGCACAAGUCUCUGAAUUGCAAAGAGAUAAAGAGAUGUAUAUGAGAGAAAAGUGCAACACUUCAUCGGUGAAAGAAACUAGUGAUAAGGCUAGUAUCAACUGUCAAAGGAAAUUUCCCGAGGGCAUUUCAUCUUGCCAACUAUACUUAUCGGCACCGAAUUAUCGACUAGUUGGCAAGGGAAAAGUGCACAACACUUUGGGAGAUUUACUUCACCAUAGACCGCUCCCGGAUGGACACCUGAAAGUAUCGGUGGAUGUUGUAGUAGAUCAUGAUGCGAUGCUAUCGGUACCUGACAUGGUCUCAGAGACGACAUUGCUGCGAGAUGCAAUAGGAUCAUUUGUUGAAUGGCCCUCGGAGCUCAUUACCAUUAGUGAUGAGACUGCUCCUAUAAAACCCGCAAUUAAGGGUACAGGGAUUUUACAGGAGGAUGAGUCUGUUGCAUCACUAAAAGAGGCAUCCGCUCGGGACUCACAAUAAGUGACGCAGCAAGUUCGUAGCGUACCACCCACUGGUCCUCCGAAGCCAGCGGCAAAAAAAGGCGGUGCUUUUGUGCCUCGAUACCGGUCGACGCUCGCAACAAUGAUUGAUAUGUCUGAUUUGAAGGAUGGUGCUUUACGUGAAAUCAAUAUGGAUGAAAGUGUCUUCGGUAUUGAAUUCAAUUCACUUAUUACAAUUGAUGACUUGGAAGAGAUUUUUAGGCAUGAUCAACUAGGCGUCAGUAAUAUGCACUCAUACAUCCGGUUGUUGUAUGACAGAGUGUUGCGCGGGACUCCAUUGUCUAACAGAAUCUGUUUCGUGUCUGUAGCAACCUGCCUAAAAUUUUAACUUAGAGAGUCGCCACCUAUUCUGAAGGGCGAAUAGGAAACCCUACGCAGUAUAGAGAUCAGGGUAAGUUACUAUAUUCAGGUCGAGGGAAGGUGUUAGGCACCCUCAACCCUUUCCUAUUGGCUUUGAAUCUAAGGCAAAGGUUUGAUGGCUAAGAGUAUUAAGGUAAGGAAAUGAAUAAGGGGGAAAGUUGAGAUUUUAGGGUGGGGGACUCGCCUUGUUGCCAAGUGCCUACGUACCUCCUUAUGGAGGAUCAGAGUCUACGUAGUUCGGGCACAGGAUUGUACGCCUUAGAAUUGAAUUUGAUUAUGGAAGUGUUUGAAGUUAUUUUGAAGUUGUUUUGAAAUGCGAAGUUCGAAGGUAUUUUGAAUUACCUUAUCGUAGUUGUGAACAUCGCAGUGUUUGAAGGGAUGUAAAUCCAUAGUAUCGUGGUUUAGUGUUUUAGAUGUGGUUUUGGGCGUACAACCCUGCUUUAAUAUGGCACUGUUAGAUGCGGUGAUCAAUAGAUUUGAUCAGUAUAGCUAACAGAUUAAUGGGCAUUGCUGGUUACUCAGAUCGAUAGAUUGAUCGUCGCGGGCAGCAAAUUGAAUGUGUUUUAAUUUUGUAUUUUUUAUCUCUUGUCUAAUGCGACCAAUAGCUUUAGUCGGGUCGAGGAGAGAAUUGAAUAAGAGUUAAUGUUUUAUUGUUUUAUCUCUCGUCUAAUGCGACUAAUAGCUUUAGUCGGGUCGAGGAGAGAAUUAUUCAAGAAUUAAUCGAAUUAAUAUUCUUGCCAAAUGGCAAUGGGAUCGGGCAAACCCUAAUGCAUAUUACCUUUAUAGGGUUUUUAUUGUGAUUUUUUUAAUAAUUAAAAUGGAUUAAAACAAAUUACUCGAAUAAUCGGAAAAAUAAUCGGGGAAAUAAUUCUAAGUCCUAAUUAUAAUCCUAAUUGUAUUGUUAAUAUGAUUUCAAAAAUAAAUUAUGUGUAUGAUAAUAAUAAUGGUUAAAAAACCAAUUAGAAUCAUAUAAACAAUAUGGCAAAAAAUGAAAUAAAAUAAAUAAUAGAUGAAACCUGGGUAUGAUUCAGUAUGACGCGCUUUGGGAGGGUCCACCGUGAGCUUGCAGCCUGGGACGUUAGACCAUGAUCUGGGCACGAUCCAGUGGCUGCUUGGUGAGGGUGUGUGGUAGGAACACGCACGCUAGAAUCACUGGAUCGGAAGGCAUAUGUUAACAAAGAAACUAAGAAAAAUAUAUGUUGGACGCUGGGAUCGAACCCAGGUCCCUUUGAUCCCCAGUUUCUCUCCAAAGCCAUACGGGCUACGUUGGUUUGUUGUUACUAACAUAACUUCAAUACAAAAUAUACUAAAAUACGAAUGAACCAACACUAAAAAAAAGAAACGCGCGGUACUGUUCUCCAUCUUCACCAAUUUUCUGGAAACGAAACCAGACCUUUAGCGAUGGUUUUCCUUAGUGUAGCUACAAAGCCUGCAAGUUCCAAAAUAAACAAUAUGCAAUAGAAAUUAAAAGUGAGAGCAUGGUUCAAUUCGUUUCGGUCCUCUGAAUUUAUUGGUGAUAUUCUUUUGGUCCAAUUUUGCCUGGAUUUUAAAACCCCAAUUCGAAGCUUAGAACCCUAGCCAUGGCGGAUUCCUCUGUGUACGUUCAACGUCCAAUUAAACUACUCAGAUACCUUGCAAACAUCGACCUGAACACAAUUACGCAUUUAAAUCACGUUAAAACUGCAUGAUUAUCGAAAUCGAAUGUAAAAAAUAUCACCAAACCGUGAAUGCCAUGGCCAUGAUUCUGGGCACUUUCAUGUGUUGCAAAUUGCUGGGAUUAAUCAGAGAGCACCGGGGGACAUGUUAGAAUGCCUUGUUUGGUUUUUGUCCGAUUAGAACCAUGACUGCAAAUUGUUGUUUGACGUGAAAUUUUUUUUGUUCUUGAGUCCGAUUCUGCAGCGGCCAAAUCCCCCCUCUGUAUGCAAUUGUUAGUUUCUUAUAUAUCAUUCCAUUAGGUCAACAAAAAUCAAUCCAAAUCCUUUGUAAUUGAAUAAUCAAGAUUUGAUUUUCAGGGAUUCCAAACUUACCAUUCUUGAUCCCUUCUUUCGCGUUUCUUAAAAGCUCCCUUUUUUAUUUUUCCGUGAUUUUUUGUAUUUACUUAAUAUCUUAAUCAAAUAAUUACAAACUAAAAUAAUAAUUGACAACUAAGCUUUGAUAAUUCUAAUCCUAAUAAAAUAGUUAGUAAUAAUAUUUAAUACUAAUAAUUCUAAUACUAAUUACUAAUAAUAAUAGUUAAUAAUAAUAAAACUAAUUAUUGUUACUAAUAAUAAUAGUUAAUAAUAAUAAAACUAAUGAUAAUUAUAAAACUAAUAAUACAAAACACUAACAAAUCAUAGUUAGUAACAAUGAAAUUAAUAGUAAUAAUAUUAUGAGAAAUAAUAAAAAGAAUAAUAAAAAUGAUUAAAUGAAUAGAACAAAAUGGGCCCAAAGCAAAUUGGCUCCCGAAUACUUGCUACUCACACCUCCAUUUUAUUUUAACCGGUUUAUAAGGGAAUUUUAUAAGAGAUCGAGUUUAAUAAUAGAUAUAUUAAACCCUAUGGCUCUUAAUUUUUAACACCCUUAAUAAAUCAACAAAAUGUAAAUUAUAUCGGGUAAAUUUUGGGGUAUGACAGUGUCUUCCGCC